UGAUCGGCAAGGGUCGCCAAGAUCACAGAAGGACUCAUAAUCCGUCGGCCGUGGGUUCGAGUCCCACCCGCCCCA
rnacentral:tRNA from 1 species